rnacentral:rRNA from 1 species
GACGAACGCUGGCGGCGUGCUUAACACAUGCAAGUCGAACGGAAAGGCCCUGCUUUUGUGGGGUGCUCGAGUGGCGAACGGGUGAGUAACACGUGAGUAACCUGCCCUUGACUUUGGUAUAACUUCAGGAAACUGGGGCUAAUACCGGAUAGGAGCUCCUGCUGCAUGGUGGGGGUUGGAAAGUUUCGGCGGUUGGGGAUGGACUCGCGGCUUAUCAGCUUGUUGGUGGGGUAGUGGCUUACCAAGGCUUUGACGGGUAGCCGGCCUGAGAGGGUGACCGGCCACAUUGGGACUGAGAUACGGCCCAGACUCCUACGGGAGGCAGCAGGGGGGAAUAUUGCACAAUGGGCGGAAGCCUGAGGCAGCAACGCCGCGUGCGGGAUGACGGCCUUCGGGUUGUAAACCGCUUUAGCCUGUGACGAAGCGUGAGUGACGGUAAUGGGUAAAGAAGCACCGGCUAACUACGUG